AAUACUUGUCCUUAACAAUAAAUGCAGCAGGUAUCUUCAGUUUUACAUCGCUCCGAAUAUGAUCUGUUGUUUUCAGUUUUUUAACUUAAACACGGAAGCUGUGUUUACCCAAACCAUUUUCAAAUAUGAUGUAAGAUCUAUUAUUGAACGGCAUUAGCUGCAGUUCACACUCCAGACCAGAUGGUGGCGGUAUUGCACACUUUCAGUAUUUUUGAAAAGCGCCAUUAAAAGAAGGAAAGCCAUGUAGCCAUAGAAGAUAACAGACGCUGUUCAAAUUCGUCACUUUUACUCGCAUAAUAUUUCCUUAAAAGUAGAGAGGGCCUUGAUAAAAGUUAGUAGUUUUGGUACAUUCGAGCUGGUGACGUCAUAGCCCGAGUUAGACGACAACACAACAGGACAAGAACCGAUGGAAAUGAAAUGUGGGUCACGAAAGGAGCCCGAAGGGACGAAGGCUGCUAACGUGUUGCUAGCUGGUGUCUAAGCAAAUGAAGACGAAAGAGGAAGCCAGAAAUCAGGUAUUAGAAAACCUUCUCAGAAGAGGCCCUGGCUCCACCAGAUCACCAACCAGUUCAGAGGAUGAAGCUCCACAUCGUCUUCAUGGUGCAAGUCUGUUUUCACUGAGCAGCUGGCUACAUUUUCAACAGCAAAAACUGGUGUGUUAUCAACACUAAGUGCUGAAUAAACAUGAUUGAUUUAAAAAUAACUGGACAGAAUUUAUUCCCCUUGUUAAUCUACCAUUUCUCUUUCAUACAUUUUAUUUGUUGUUGGCUUUCAGGGCCCUGUGACGGACUGGCGACCUGUCCAGGGUGAAGCCCGCCUCUCAUCUGAUGACUGCUGGAGAUGGGCACCACCAGCCCCCCUCCCCACUUCAAGGAUCAGCGUGUUCAGAUCAUGGAUGGAAAGCUUUUAAGGAAAAGAAGUCACACAGAAAUGGUUUUCCACCCCAGGCAUCUGGUCCCAAUCAUCAUCAGUUCUGAUGAUGUCGCAUACAUAGCGAGUCCACAACGUCUUAAAAUUGUAAGUCUUAUUUUUUCUUUGCCGUUUUUCUGUACUCUUUAAAAUGCAAGUGCUUUCUCUGUUUAAUUGCUCUAUUGUUGUUUUUUGUAGGUUUCUGUAAAGUGCAGUGAGUGGGAAUGUUCUGUCGUAGAUCCUCACUGUUCUUAGGAAGGAGAAAUGUCAGUUUGUCUGGAGUAAUACUGGAAUACUGUGACAUU